CGUCGAGGACUGAUCCUGCAGACCCUCUCUGUGCAGAUGCCGGUCUAGAGUUCGACGACGAACCCUCUCUCUGUUGCACGCCUCUCGGCACAUUCGGAAUGUCGGCGCUGGAUAUUGGGCAGGUCUCUUCCCUCUCCGACCCAGGCUUUUACCAACCAUUGGAUACGAAUACAUCUGUGAACCUCUUCGAUUCCCAACAGCAUCCAACCCGAUUUCGAUCCACUGCCCGCCAUCUAGCAAGCCCCUGGAUUGUCUCGCUUAAUUACGUUUGCUUGACUCGAAUAGUGAGACUCGAGCAAAGCUUUUGUGGAGUAAAAGAUUACGAGCGACUCGGUCUCUCGACAUCAAAGCUUUUAAGAGUUGCAGGUCCGGUCUCUUUUUUCUCUCACGAAAGAGUCGCGUGUCCGCCUCCAACUGCCGCAAUGUCGAGAUGGACUGGGCUCUGCUCGUGGUCUUGUGUUCUUCUGCGAUAACUUGGCCCAGGUCAAGCUGUGCUUGUCGCAAGGCGAUUUUAAGCGGGGCCGACGCAGAUGGUAGCCCUGUCAAAUCGGGCUUCAAAGCGGUGCUGGACGAUCCUAACCCUAAGUUGAUCUUCGGCCGACGGUCGGCUCUCCUUGCCAAAGAGAAAAGCCUCCCAGUCGACAGCCAUGAAAGCUUACCACGCCUCGGAGGUUCCUGUAGACUUUCUUCGCGCGUCGAUGGAAUCCGCAGGCACCUCAGAGAUCGAACAUGCGACCUCUUGCUGCUACGGCAGCAGAGACGCGGGCGAGCAAGAGUUGCUGAAUGACUGGCCGUCGGCUCAAGCAAGCGAGUAGACUCUCUGACCCGGAUCUUUGGGUCUUGUGUUUCUUUUCCGAGGACCGGUCACUGUGCCGAGCACAGAAAAGGACACGAGACCGAUUGGUCUGCCGAUUGAAGGACAGAAUCGGUUGGUUGGAGUGAAGGUUUCUGCUCGUUGCUCCUUUCCAAACAUUUGCUCGACGAUACUGUGUUGGUAUCGCACGACAUCAAACAGGUCUCGUUCGUUGGUUCUUCGACCUGCUCUACUCUUGUUGCCUCUUUUCGUGCCUACGCGGGCAGGCCUGGGUGAUCUCCAGAUCUCAACGCCAGGCAAGAGAAUGGAGGUAGACGAGGGUAAGGAAAGCAAGAACAACGGAUGCUGAAGGGCGUGAUGGAUCGACACGGAUGUUAUUUGUAUACCGAUUCUACGGUGAUUGCAAAGACCCUGGCUCGCUAUUCCCCAAGACAAGAGGAGGGGAGUUCGGGUCUCUGCCUAUGGCAGCAAACUCGAAUCGGCAACAGAGAGAGGAUUUCUGAGGCUCUGGGCAUGCAUGCAGCUCUGCGCACCGAGUUGACAACCCACGGCUUGCACCUGAUCGACGGAAGUAGCCAGAGGGCCUGCCGCGAUCAGUUCUGGCAGAGAUGCGGCAGAGAAUAGGCAGAUCAAGACGUUGUAGCAGUACAUGCUUUUCGAAGCCUGACCUGAAAUUUGGCUGGUUCUGUUUGUUCCAGGGGUGUCUUUUGAGGUCCCUCUUCGUCUCCCUGCAAAGGCGAGGAAGAGGUCUGACCCGGGACUUUUUGGGGGAGCAGAACUCGACAAAAGGGGAGUGUACUAGAGUCUACUCGACUCGCCUGGCUCCGUCUUGCAUCUCCUUUCUCCUGUCUCUUUCUUAGCCAGGAGUUGACCGCGAUCCUUCCGCCUCUUCUCUGUUCGAUGAAAGGCGAAGAUACCAAUUUUUUGCUCUUUCUCAUCC
rnacentral:telomerase_RNA from 1 species